AAUAAACCUUUCUAGGGUUCCACGACGAUGGUGUUGGUUCGGUCCGAGAGAAAGGCACAUAUUAAUAUGUGACACGGAAGGAUAAAAGCCUGGGAGAU
rnacentral:sRNA from 2 species